UUUUUGGCCACUGUCAAGAUGCAGCGUAAGAAGGGUCAAUUUACUUCAUCCAAGGCUGAUUCUUAUGAAGGGGCUCAGCUGCUUCUGGCAGCGGUGCAACGCAGGGUUCUGGACAAGAUGAUAGCAUGCUGGAAACUUUGCGAGUGUUGAUUCAUUUUUUUAAUCUACAAGCAUCGUUUUUUUAACAGUGUCAUUCCAAAAAAAAGGGUGAAAAUCCUGUAUAGGAAAAACCUUUUUCCUGAUGCUUUAUGCCGAUGUACUCAUUGCAGAAUCGGUUCAAAGUCCACUCCGAUGAUGCAUCGUGGGCCAGCUGGUCCAAGAACUCUUUGUAAUGCAUGUGGACUCCAGUGAGCCAACAAGGCGUGGAAAUUUCUCGGUGCCCCUUUAAUUUAAUUUGUGAACUUACUGCAGGUUAUCCAUGCAAGUUACUGUCAUUUGUCAAGUGCCUGACCUGCUUUAAUCUUCCUGGAUGUUUCUUUUGGGCCAAGUUACAAUGAAUACUGAUCCUGGGGUAGUGGCCACAGACAUAGUCUCUCCUUCAAAUGGUGAUUACUCUGCUGAAAUGUGAGAUGAUAUAUAGUUGUUUCCCUUGAAGCGAUUUCCAUUUUCUAUUAGAAAGCAGAUGCCAAACAGUCCAUCAACUUCUUGUGAAAUGACACCCAGCUUCUCUCUGACCAAAUUGUACAUAUAUAUGAAUCAGCACCUUCGAUCGUAUACACAUACUGUUUCUUAAUACUUGCUAUAGCUGUAACCUGCAAGUCUGUCAGUUGGAACGAAGGCUUAUUUGAGUUGAGCGCUUGGAAGUUCUAACAUGAAGUUUGGUGAGAUCGGUUCUGUUCAAAACUAUGAGCACUGUCAACAGGCAGGCAGUGUUCAUUGUAUUUGUCUUCCAACAGGGAUGGGUUAUAGCUUGUAGAGAUGCAGUCAACCUGUAAAAGGAAAUCAGAAAUGAAGAAUUCAAAUCUGAUUUUUUGCUGGAGGCUGAUUCGGAUCAGGACAGGUGCAGUACUAUCUGCGUUCCUAGCUAGCAACUCGACUUUCAGCUCUUUGUUACUGGACCAGUGCUUCACCAGCAAGUUUUCUUUCAACUUUGGCUGAACAUAAUCUAGGCAUUUAGCUGCCAUCAGGGGACACACUGAUUGAUAGAAUCCGGACUUUAAGGAGCAUGUUUUUCGUUCAACUAGCCGGACUUUAAGGAGCUUUGGAUGCUUAAUGGUGCAAAUUGCAUUGCCUGUACGUCUCUAUACAUUACAGAGAAGUUUAUGUUUUAUGUUCCUCUCCCCUUUCUUCUUCACCGAGGGCCUGGCGUGACUAAGUUAAUCAUUUUUUGUUUAUUCGCUAACAAGAGAUAUCCUCCCCAACUCGGCACGUGUGUUAACAGAGAUUAAAUCUUCUGAGAUGAUUUUAAUUAUUAAGAACACAACUUUCA